rnacentral:rRNA from 1 species
AGUGGAGCCUGCGGCUUAAUUUGACUCAACACGGGAAACCUCACCAGGCCCGGACACCGGAAGGAUUGACAGAUUGAGAGCUCUUUCUUGAUUCGGUGGGUGGUGGUGCAUGGCCGUUCUUAGUUGGUGGAGCGAUUUGUCUGGUUAAUUCCGAUAACGAACGAGACUCUAGCCUGCUAACUAGGCGUAUUUCGACAUCCCAAAGGCCCGCCGGUUUGGGGUUUCGGCUCCUUAUCGCGCGCGGUUUUUACUGUCGGCGUACAAACAAUUCUUCUUAGAGGGACAGGCGGCAUCUAGCCGCACGAGAUUGAGCAAUAACAGGUCUGUGAUGCCCUUAGAUGUUCUGGGCCG